rnacentral:lncRNA from 1 species
GAUCAUUUUUGCAAAGCAACUUCAUUGUGGCCGAACCGGAUUCUUGGUGCUAUGGUUGGAGAGAGUAAGGCUGGUGAAGUCUGGCCAUGUGAUUAGCCACUGUCCUGCUGAUCAAGAAUCACUGCUUUUGGUCUUCAGGAGUGACUCGGAAACCCAUCUCAGAGGGUGAUGGAAGACCUAAGACCUUCUCACUUGUGUGGCAGCAAAGAGAUCCUGCAUUUUACGGACUUAUUGCGUGUGGUCAAUGACCCAUACCUCUAAAAGGUUACAAAGAAG